GAUGAACGCUAGCGGCCGGCUUAACACAUGCAAGUCGAGGGGCAGCGCGAUGUAGCAAUACAUUGGCGGCGACCGGCGCACGGGUGCGUAACACGUAUGGAAUCUGCCCUGUACUGGAAGAUAACCCGGCGAAAGUCGGACUAAUAUCCCAUAAUAGCCGAGGUGGCAUCACCUUGGUUUGAAAGCUCCGGCGGUACAGGAUGACCAUGCGCACGAUUAGCUAGUUGGUGAGGUAACGGCUCACCAAGGCUACGAUCGUUAGGGGGCCUGAGAGGGUUANCCCCCANACUGGUACUGAGACACGGACCAGACUCCUACGGGAGGCAGCAGUGAGGAAUAUGCGCAAUGGAGGCAACUCUGACGCAGCCAUGCCGCGUGCAGGAGAAGGCGCUACGCGUUGUAAACUGC
rnacentral:rRNA from 1 species